AGCCCCGGUCUUGAAUCUGGUCCCAGACUAAACAUUUGGGCUGAUCAGUGACUGCGGCUGC
rnacentral:pre_miRNA from 1 species